AGUAAUCUGCUCAUCCGGUUGGCUUGACGGGUGAAUUUAUAAACAUCGCUGAAUUUCGUCUGCGGAGCCUCACGAGAGCAUCGAAAAGAUCGGUGAAAAUCUGAGUUGAAAUGAAUUCUUUUUAUCUAUUCAAAACAUGUACUAUCCAAAACGCGAAUAGUAUACAUAUGUAAGUGCAACAGAAAAUACUUAUAUUCAGAUUCAUUGUCAAAUUCAAGAAUUACCUUGCAUGCUCAGGUUGUUGCUAACAUAGAGGAAAAAACUGAUGAGGAUGAUAUAGAUGGCAAAUUAUUAUUAUAUGAGAAGUUAAAAACGUAGGAAACAAAUGUUAAAAUAACUGAUGGUGCAAUAAAGGAGAAUAUUGUGGACAUUAGGGGACAGUUUACAAGCACUUUAUUAUUACGAAAAACAGCAGUUUUGUAGCUGAAUCUUAUACAUGAAAUGGAAGCUAUAGAAAUAUAUACCUACUUACCUUUCUGUUAUUUACAUUAUAUUGGGACUUCAUCGUAAUUUACCAACUUUCCUCAUAUACCUAAUGUAGUACUUAUAUUAAAUAUAUUAUUCUGUAAUAUAAUGAAAUAAAAGAAUUUAUGUCAUU